rnacentral:ncRNA from 1 species
GGAACAGGGAAUGAAGUUCUCCCCUGAUAUAUUUAUCAAAACCGCUGAUAUAAGCUGAUGACUUCUGU